GCAGCUGCCACCCAGUGAGGCCAACGGUGCCCUGAAAUUACAAUAAGCUAUUCACAGCCUCUUAUAACGCUUUAAAUUUUAAAUGUAUACACGCGCUGCGUCUGGGGGAGAAAAACAAAAUAAGCAAAAGCGAUUUCCUGACACCCUCAGAAAAGGCGAACAAGAGGGCAGUCCUGACAGAUUGUGUCCAGAAAAAAUGCGUAUGAAAAAUGCAGUUGUAAAAAAAAUACAUUUACAUUCAGUCGUGUGUAACAGCAGCUGAGUGUGAGUGGUCAGGAUUCCGAGAUACGGUUACUGGGAGCGGAGGACCGAAAAUAGGACAACGCGAAUGACUGUCUCCGUGCACUUAAUCUUGGCAACCGAUUGCAUGCUAUAAUUCCAUUAGAGAAAUCAAAAUGAAACAAUUGAGUCAGAAGAUAUUCAAAAUAAUUAGACAUGCGGGUAGGCUAAAUGGCUUUUGUAAAUUGCCCUGCGAUGGACUGGCAUCCCAUUCAGGGUGUACCCCAGCCUUGUGCCUUAUGUCGCCUGGAAUAGGCUUCAUGCCCCCCCGCCACAACCAUAUCCACGCCACUCAUGACCGUCUUUCAUCACGUUCUGGCAUGACUCUCCGUGGAAGAGUGACAAGAAUAGCAAGGGAAAGGAGGCAAUCACAUGAACCCUGAUUCAGUUUCUUCUGCUAAGGCAGCAUCUCCUCUUUUUCAGAAUCACCACGGCAACUCACAAUCUCCUCACCUGCCACCAUCAAAGGUCUGGACCACUGCUGUCCACAAGCCACAUCAUAAACCAAUCAGGGUUAAGACUCCGUGUUAUAGCUAAUGAGCAAUCAGCACCCCCACCCCCAGUCUCUCUUGCACCACCCACUGUUUUACCCCCACCACCCAACCCCCCUGCUCAUCUGAUUGCAAUCAGCAGCAGGUCCUCUGAAUUCUGCCUGCACUGUUUCCCAGACCCCCUCAAAGUCCUUUAAUUGCUAACAAGCGGCAGCAGAGGGUGACAGGGUGUCGAACCUGUGACAGAUCCGAUGCAGCGUGACUCAUAUGCUCAGAGGGAAGGGUUGUAGCCUGCAUAACCGGGGACGUGUUGGAUUUCCCAGGCAAAAAACCUGAAAUCUAAAUCCAAGUAGGGGCAGGAACGGCUCAAGGAACUCUAGCGCGGAAUGAAAUUCUAAGCCGCUAUAAUUCUACGAAUACAAAUUCCAUACUCUCAGAAAUCAUCCAUCUCCCCCUUGAAUCAUGAAAGAUAGGCCAUUAGUGCAUAAGAGCAUAGUUUAUUCUGGGCAGUCCUCUUGAGCGGAAUCACCUCCUGACAAAUCUACAGUGUUCACAGCAUCGUCCUUUGCAUGUCAAAUGUGAAACACACCAUAGCACGCAGAAAAUGGUGGCGGGCCUCGGCCGGCGGGGCCCUGGACCCAGGAAUCACGGCUGUGGUUUUUGGAAGACGAAAAACUCCGAGCGCUGCAUUAGAGCGCUUUAUUUCAGGGCUGGAAUAAAGCCCCAAGCCACUGUCAUCUACUAACGGGAGCUGUACAGGGUAUGUGCGAAAUCAGCUAGUACUCCAGUUCCUUAAUCUGUUGUUCUCGAUGUCCUAUUUCUUUUUAUUUGACAUACAAACAAAAAAAAGACAAACAUCUCACAAAAAAAUGCGUGAGAGGUAAAAAGGAAAGAAAUGCUUAUCGUCUUUGGGGGCCGAUCUAAUAAUAGAAUUUCAUGACUCUGUUGGUUUAACAAAGCAUAGCUGAGGGCUAUGAAUUGUGCGACGGUUCAAUGUUUGUCAAAUGCACUGCAUUGCGUUCCCAUUUGCAAAUAACCUGUAUCUAUCUCUGUAUCUUUGUGCAUUCAAUUCCAGUGCAUCUGGCCGUGCCUGAUUUGUAGCUGAGGCACACUUGCAUACGGAAGCACACACACUCCGCUCGACAUACAUUGCACCAGGAGCUCAAAGAGCAUCCUAACAAUCUCAGCCGUUGUUUCCGCACGCACUGGGAGAGGAGCCUGAAUGCAAUUAUGAGUUCCAAGAAUCCAAAGUUGUAUUUUUUCUUGGCUACCCAAACAGAGCAGAGAGAAAAAAAAAACACAAGCAGAUUAAAUAUUAACUUUGCCCUUUUUUCACGAGUGUGAAGUAUCGCACCACAGGUUGGUUUGAAUCACAGCCGCGUGAGGUGAAACAGAAGUGAGGAGGGGACAGGAGGGGGGUGACGGCAGAGAGGGAGGUCAUGCCACUUAGGCAGCUCCUCAGCAAUGACGCUGCUGCAGCUCCAGGGGGCGCUGGCGAAUCCAGUCUGGGUCACAACAGGGUUGUCCUGGAAGGAGUUGCUUAUGUCAUCUUGGUGUGACAGGACUGGAGUCCGGUCAUGAUAGUGUGAGGACAGGGGUGUAAUGGGGGCGAAUUAUGACGAUUCCAAGGGCCCAACAUAAUUGGAUUGGUCUGGGUUUGGGGCCCAAUUAUGUGCUUUUAUGGGGCCCGGAAUCUCUAGCAGCACCCUGGGGUGAUGGGGUACACAUAAACACACCCAGCAGGCACAGGUGGGGUUCGAAUGGGAUUGAUAAAGCUACACACAACUGACGUCAUGUAAAUAUCCUGCAGCGGCAGCUCAGUGAUCGGUGACGUCACAUGACGAACCCGGGUUCCACCGUGGACCCCUGCUUUCGGCUCUGUGUCCAUCUUGCAUUAUCUCCUCAUCUUUACACAGGUUUCCUCCCACAGUGCAGCUCCAUUGCUGUGUCUAAAUUAACCAAUAGUGUGUGAGUGUUUGUGUUUACUCUGCAAUGGACCUGACACAGGUACAGGCCGCUUCCCCGGGCAUCACGGGACGGCAUCCAGGUCCCCGAAGCCUGUCCUGGACAA